rnacentral:rRNA from 1 species
GCUUCUUCGGGAGUGAGUACAGCGGCGGGCGGGUGAGUAAUACACAAGAAUCUACCCUUCAGUGAAGAAUACCCCCAAGAAAUUGGGGCUAAUGCUGCAUACGUCCCUUCGGGGAGAAAGACGGCCUCUUUGCUGUCGCUGAUGGAUGAGCUUGUGCGCUAUUAGCUUGUUGGUGAGGUAAAGGCUCACCAAGGCGAUGAUGGCUAGCCGGCCUGAGAGGGUGUACGGCCACACUGGAACUUAGACACGGUCCAGACUCCUACGGGAGGCAGCAGUGAGGAAUAUUGCGCAAUGGGCGAAAGCCUGACGCAGCGACGCCGCGUGAAGGAUGAAGGCCUUAGGGUCGUAAACUUCUGUUAAGUGGGAAGAAAAGCCAAGCUCUAAUACAGCUUGGUAAUGACGGUACCACUAGAGAAAGCACCGGCUAACUUCGUGCCAGCAGCCGCGGUAAUACGAGGGGUGCUAGCGUUAUUCGGAAUUAUUGGGCGUAAAGGGUGCGUAGACGGCGCAUUAAGUCACCUGUUAAAUUCUUCGGCUCAACCGAAGAUCUGCGGGCGAUACUGAUGUGCUAGAGGAUGGAAGAGAGAAGUGGAAUUCCCGGAGUAGCGGUAAAAUGCGUAGAUCUCGAGAGG